AUGAUUCAGCUAAGCACCCCGACCAAAACAAAUAUAGAAUACAAAUAGGAAUCAAGGAAAUAGUAAACAACUUUGUUAUGGCUCCAAUCGACUCAAGGUUUUCGUGCUUGACUAUGGCUCUUUUGCUGAUGUCAACCACUUGUUUGUCGAGUCAAGUAUCAGAGACAGAGAGCAUAGGUAUGAAAGCCAACGCAUGCGCGGGCCGUGAACCUUACCAGUUCAAUUGUACGCCUGGAGGCUGUGUUACUGCCUGCAAAAAACUAGGCUGCGGAACUGGGGUUUGCCAUUCAGAUGGUAGUUGCUAUUGCAGCUAGAUGAGGCUGCUCGAUCAGUCCUAGUUGUUGCUCUAAUUUGUAGUAAGAAAAAGACCGAGAAUAAUAAGUAAUGUUGAGUUUUCUUCAAUUCCUGAAAAAAGUUAAAUAGAGAUUGUUUAUUUUCC